UUCUGAACUAUUCAUGUUUGGUAAAAGCUCACUACUAGCAGAACUCAGAUUUGCUUCCAACUGCCAACAGGAAUCUUCAUUACUGUUUUACACACUUCUACAUGUGUAGUGAAAGUUUAUUAUUCUUGUGAAGUGAACUGAACCCACCUUUGCUAUUCAUAUGGUCUUUUGUGUUCACUUCACCUCAGGUAAUAAUCCUAAUCUCAGAUUAGUGUGUUAUAUGUGUAUUUUGUUGAGUGUUGUUGGAAUGACUAGAAUCUUCUUGUUUUCUCUUUGCUUUUCUCUACAGCACAGAUAACUCCUGAUGGCCAAAAACCCAGAAGCAAGCGAAUAAUUCUUGCCUAAAAAUGAAAAUUAAUUCAUUUGUUGUAUUCAAAGAUAUGUGCAUGUUUGCCAAAAUUCCCUCUAAACUCUUCAAGGCAAAGUCUAUAAACCAGUUAACCAUGUACCCUCAACCAACACAUUCUCACUCCUGACUCGUCACAUAUUGACACUUGGUCAAGACCCCUUGGUGUCGCUUUUAACCGCCCUGGGUACCCCUUUAGCGUUUUUCGAUGUUCGAGGCUCCGAGGUCAAGUUAGCAACGGUUAAAAACAUUAAAUGUGCCACGUCAGGUUAGACUCCAACUACCUUCUUACUCAGUCUUUUCAGUUAAAUAUCAUACCUUUACUUUUCAAAAGUGACACUACAGGGCUUUCCACACUGCGUUGAUCUAUCACGCAAUGGGGAUCCCCAGUGCGUCACAAACUGACGCUGACAGGUCUUAACAAUGAGUCUAUAUGUAACAAGUUGGGAGUGAGAAAGGGUUGCCUUCGACAGUGCCUGCAACAGUGUGGUCAGCAGAUAAGAAUUACUGAAAGCCUGGAUUAAAUCUGAGACUGGGUCACUGUCUAAAACUGGCAUAAUUUGAGGCUCAGUUAUCAUGAAAUGUGACCAUACAAAUGUGAGGUACAUUUACAUUCAGAUUGAAAUGGUUUAAGGUGUGGAUUGAGAAUCAGUAACUAUAGAUCUAUUGUUACAAAUAAACCUUUUUCAGUACCAGGGCACAGUCACCCAAACCUAGCUACUGUCCAUAAUACUAUGUCAACACCCCGUGUUGAUGUUUUUUUGGUCAGUUCUACUAGAGAACUUCUAGCCCAUAUAGUUUCUUUUAAAUGUCUAAAAGGCAUCUUACUAAACACAUUACCAACAAUGAUGAGGAAAAUGGUCAAGGUUCUAAUAGCACAUUUUGAUCUCUGCACUGGCAGUUAUAUAAAAAUCACCAAAAGAAAAUGUUUAAUAUGCUUGUUUUUUUUAAUGUUCAUCUGGAAAAAAAGACCAGAUAUAAUGAUUAAUUUUCUUUAUAUAUUUUUUGAUUUUCCAUUUGCCAGAAAGCUAUAUUUACUAAAAAAAAAAAAAGAAACAACAAGUAUUUACUGUACAAAUUAAAAUGGUUCUCAGUUUUUUUCCAAAAGGGAGAACAUGGAGGUUUAUGCAGGAGACACAGAGGAGACCUCUGUCUUUGAUGUGGAUACUUCAGAGCCAUCAUCUGCUUCUUUGCCAAAGAGCUGCAUGAUGCAUGAUCGGAACUAUAAGACAUAGAUGACUGGGUUCCAGAUGGUGGCGCUCUUGGCAAAGUAUGCAGGCAUGGAAGCAGCCAGAGGAUGGAAGGCAUACCCAGGAUUAGCCGCAGCAAAGCAGGCGAAAAAGGUGUAAGGUCCCCAGCAGAAACAAUAUGCAAAGAUCAUGAUAACAACCAUCCUGGAAACUUCUCUCUCAGCUUUCUGUGUUGACUCUGAUUCCUUCUGCUGCAUGGCAACCUGCGGUCGACAAUCCAACACAGUGUGAGAUUCUGCCAGACUGUGGUCUAUACCAGGCUAUAUAAAGUACAGAACUGCAGGUAAGAUAACUUACAGCACGGAUAGCCAUCCAGACUGCAAGGUAGCAAAAGAUGAUGAUAGCCAGAGGAAUGAAACAACAUGUAAUCAUAAGAACAAUCAUGUAGGACUGGACUCCAGGAUCUUCACUUCCACUGAAUACAUCAGGUCCACAGGAAGUCUUCAGUCCAUGAGGCCAGUACCUGAUGCAAGAAAAUGUUUGGUUUACAUUCCCACUGAUAAAUUCACAACUCAGGUUUUGGAAGAUAUAAAACACCAGGCUACCUGCUCCAUCCGAAGACGGGGGGAGCACACCAGAUUGCCGACCAGACCCAGGAGAACACUAUUCCACCUGUGGCCCACUUUUCAUCAAACUUGACAUUUCCAAAAGGUUUGCACACAACUAUCCAUCUCUCCCAUGAGAUGAUAGUCAGAGACCAAAGACCAGUGAUGCCUGUGUAAGAAAUCAGGAUACUCAGUAAAUGUGUUUAUUCACACCCUGAUAAUUAAUGUCUUGACAAACUGUUCCUAAAUACUUUAACAUCAAAGAUGAAAAACUGUGAACACUUACCGCAAGUUGCGACGGUGAAGCCCUCAAAGACGCACAUUGGGUGUCCCAGAAUGAAGUAGCCAAAAAACUGGUUGCAUACACUGAUGGUGCUGGCAAGAAGUGUCUCUGCGAGAUCAGCAAUGGCAAGAUUGACCAAGAUCCAGUUCAGAGGGUGACGGAGUUUCUUGAACUUUGCUGUGGCCACCAAGACCAGACCAUUGGUGACGGUUGAUAAGACGACCACACAAAACAUCCAGAAUGUUGCGAGGUUGUAAGUCCACCGAGGAGCAAUGUGGUAAUUGGGACCCUCAAAGGGAUCUGGGGAAAAAGCAACAAUGUCAUACAUAGUCUCACAAUUUAGAACUGUACAAAAUUAUUUUGUAAGAUAUUGAAAGCCACACAGUAGACUACUUCCACAUACUUAAAUGAGGUAAAACAAUUGCUGUAAUUUUGUAUACGCCACUGUACACUUUUGUUUUGAGUUGGCUCACAAAUUUGAAAAUGAGAAAUUCAUAUUAUUCACGUUUGAAAUGUAAAAAUAUACAGUAUGUUAACAGAAUUCCAAAGUCCAUUUUGUAAAAAAAAGCUGGCAAAAGUUUUCACUCUGACUGAAAGUCUUGCCAGACUUAUUAAUGACAUUCUUUGUGGUAGUUCCUUUCAUUUGUUGCAGUCUCUCAUAUAAUUAACAUGCCCAACAUAUUAUUCAUCCAUCCUGUAUAAAAAUGAAAUGACAAUACUGUA